rnacentral:rRNA from 1 species
AUUGAACGCUGGCGGCAUGCCUUACACAUGCAAGUCGAACGGUAACAGGUCUUCGGAUGCUGACGAGUGGCGAACGGGUGAGUAAUACAUCGGAACGUGCCCGAUCGUGGGGGAUAACGAAGCGAAAGCUUUGCUAAUACCGCAUAAGAUCUACGGAUGAAAGCAGGGGACCGCAAGGCCUUGCGCGAACGGAGCGGCCGAUGGCAGAUUAGGUAGUUGGUGGGAUAAAAGCUUACCAAGCCGACGAUCUGUAGCUGGUCUGAGAGGACGACCAGCCACACUGGGACUGAGACACGGCCCAGACUCCUACGGGAGGCAGCAGUGGGGAAUUUUGGACAAUGGGCGAAAGCCUGAUCCAGCCAUGCCGCGUGCAGGAUGAAGGCCUUCGGGUUGUAAACUGCUUUUGUACGGAACGAAAAGACUCUUUCUAAUACAAGGGGCUCAUGACGGUACCGUAAGAAUAAGCACCGGCUAACUACGUGCCAGCAGCCGCCGUAA